rnacentral:rRNA from 1 species
CACCUCCAGCAUAACAACUAUUGGGAGGCACUGCCUGCCCAGUGACAUCUGUUAAACGGCCGCGGUAUCCUGACCGUGCAAAGGUAGCAUAAUCAUUUGUUCUCUAAAUAAGGACUUGUAUGAAUGGCCACACGAGGGUUUUACUGUCUCUUACUUCCAAUCUGUGAAAUUGACCUUCCCGUGAAGAGGCGGGAAUUAACUAAUAAGACGAGAAGACCCUAUGGAGCUUUAAUUAAUUAGCCUAUAAAUAAAAUAAUAAACUUCUAAGGAAGACAAAAUAUCUUUUAAUAGGCUAACAAUUUAGGUUGGGGUGACCUCGGAAUAUAAAGAAACUUCCGAGUGAUUAAAGUAUAGACUAACUAGUCAACACACACUAUCAAUUAUUGAUCCAAGAAAUUGAUCAACGGAACAAGUUACCCUAGGGAUAACAGCGCAAUCCUACUUGAGAGUCCAUAUCGAUAGUGGGGUUUACGACCUCGAUGUUGGAUCAGGACAUCCUAAUGGUGCAGCCGCUAUUAAUGGUUCGUUUGUUCAACGAUUAAAGUCCU